rnacentral:RNase_P_RNA from 2 species
AUGAUCGGGCAAUCGCUGCAGCAUUUGCUGCAGAGGAAAGUCCAUGCUCACACGGUGCUGAGAUGCCCGUAGUGUUCGUGCCUGGCCAAAAAAUAAGCCAGGGCAUUCCGGUUUAGACUGGUUUGACGGCAGAGGUGAUACCUAAGUUCCUUGGAAUAUGGUAUGAACCUCUUGAAAGUGCCACAGUGACGUAGUUCCAUCAGAAAUGGUGGAAGUGGAACGAGGUAAACCCCGCGAGUGAGAAACUCAAACUAUGGUAGGGGCACUUUCCCCAAGGAAUUGAACAAGGGGAAGGAUCAGCAUAACAAACAUGCUGAUAGAUAGAUGAUUGCCGCCCAAGUACGAGCGUAUUUACGCGUUUGUAGUACUGGGAACAAAACAUGGCUUACAGAU